UCCCUCAUAGCUCAGUUGGUAAAGAAUUUGCUUGCAAUGCAGGACACCUAGGUUUGAUUCCUGGGUAGGGAA
rfam:Ovis aries breed Texel chromosome 3, whole genome shotgun sequence.